GACGUAGGGUGCGAGCGUUGUCCGGAUUUAUUGGGCGUAAAGAGCUCGUAGGCGGCUCGUCGCGUCGACCGUGAAAACCCGCGGCUUAACUGCGGGCUUGCGGUUGAUACGGGCGGGCUAGAGUUCGGUAGGGGAGACUGGAAUUCCUGGUGUAGCGGUGAAAUGCGCAGAUAUCAGGAGGAACACCGGUGGCGAAGGCGGCUACCUGGACAGAAACUGACGCUGAGGCGCGAAAGCUAGGGGAGCAAACAGG
rnacentral:rRNA from 1 species